rnacentral:lncRNA from 1 species
CCAGGUGUGUCCAGGUGUCCCCAGGUGUGUCCAGGUGUUCCCAGGUGCACUCAGGUGUGUCCCCAGGUGUCCCCAGGUGUUCCCAGGUGCACUCAGGUGUGUCCCCAGGUGUAUCCAGAUGUAUCCAGGUGUAUCUCAGGUGUGUCCAGGUGUGUCCAGGUGUGUCCAGGUGCACUCAGGUGUGUCCCAGGUGUCCCCAGGUGUGUCCAGGUGUGCUCAGGUGUGCUCAGGUGUGUCCUCAGGUGUGCCCAGGUACACUCAGGUGUGUCCCCUCUCAGACAGGCGCGGGUCCGGGUGGUGACGGGGACCGAGCUGGCCUCGAUGGCCCCGGGGACAUUGGAGGAGCUGCUGUGGGUGUAGGUGUGGGUGUGUCCAGGUGUGUCCAGGUGUCCCCAGGUGUGUCCAGGUGUCCCCAGGUGUGUCCAGGUGCACUCAGGUGUGUCCCCAGGUGUAUCCAGGUGUAUCCAGGUGUCCCCAGGUGUCCCCAGGUGUAUCCAGAUGUAUCCAGGUGUCCCCAGGUGUCCCCAGGUGUCCCCAGGUGUGUCCCCAGGUGUGCUCAGGUGUGUCCCCAGGUGUCCCCAGGUGUGUCCAGGUGUAUCCAGGUGCACUCAGGUGUGUCCUCAGGUGUGCCCAGGUGCACUCAGGUGUGUCCC